GCUGGUGUCUUAGCUAAAUUGGCACAACACCAAUCCAUCUCGAACUUGGUUGUUAAACAAUUUAGGGGUAACAAUACUUAGGGGGUAACCCCUCGGGAAGAUAGCCUGAUGCCAGC
rnacentral:rRNA from 1 species